rnacentral:lncRNA from 1 species
CACAAUUGACAAAUAAAGAUGUAUUACUGAAUACCAUCACUAUCCAGUAACUAACACACCCCAAAGCUUUGAAUACCACUAACAACUCAUGUCCAAAAGUGAUUCAUAAGGGAAAAAAUAAAACCAACUAACAAAAAAUAGUCUUAACACAGUCCCUUUUGACCUAAAUUACAUGAUGAAGUGUAAGAUGCAAACACUGAUUCACUCAACACAUUCUAUAUAAGGUCUGACAUGUUCAGAGUCAUAUUACUUCAACAAAAUCAUGCUCAAAUCCUAGAAUAAAUAUGCAGCACUUAAGAAGAACAUGAAACAGGGGAAAUUCGUAAAGAAAAGGAAAAUAAACUAAGCUAUGAACCAAUAUUCUAAUGUUCAAUCAUCAGGAAACUAUUUUCAUUUCUCAAUCUCCAAUUCAAGCAUCACAUUGUAUGGGUUUCAGGAACAUGUACCUGGUGAUGAACAAAGGCAAAAUCAAGAGAAGAUAAGGAUCAGCAAAGCAGUAGCAAGAAACAGCACCAGCAAAACCCAGAAAAUAACUUGAAACACUCCAAAAACAUAAUCUCAAUCGAGCAGUAACCACAGUAGGCUUCAAAAACCGAACUCUUUUUUACACAAAAAAAAAAACAAACUCAAUCCAUUUUUCAAUCCCUAAUGAACUAGAAAUUGUUCUUGCAAAUUGGAAACUUUAAAAAUCAGAGAAGGAAUUCAAUAAAACAGUAAAAAUUGCAGCCGUGGGUAUUUUUGUAAAAUUCUAUCUCUAAACUCUGACUUGAGAGUCAAGUUAGGAUGUCUGCCUUUAUAGGCAAGGCAUUAUGGCAGCCCCCUAAGAAUCAGUUUUGCAUUUUGCCCCCUUUUUAAUUUCCAUUUUAGCUUAAGUAUCCCUAUUUAAAAUCCAGAAAUUCACUUUAAUCCCUACCCCCAGCUUCCUAUAAGCUUCCCAUUCAGUUACACUCAAGAUUCCUCACCCCAAUUUCCUAAAUUACCCUUAACAGCCCUGUUAUUUACCCCUAAAACCAACCCGGGUCAAGUUGACCCAGGACCUAAACCCUGGCCUGCUAAUUGGGCUAACCCUUCUUCUUUGGGCCUCUGAACUUUCAGAACCCAAUCAAAUUAAAGAUAAGCAAACAAAGGAAAUAUUUGCGUGAUUUCAAACUCAGAACUAAACUAACAAAUGAUGAUUUUUUCCUUAAGCUAAAAUACCAAAUUGAAAGUAACACUAAUUUACCAGUUUAUUAACAAUCUAAUCCUAAACUAUUUAUCAAAAAAAUUAACAUAAAAUCAAGAAGAAAACAAAGGACAUUGGCUAAGAUUGAAAAGAAGAAAUGGAGAAAUGGGAACAAAUACGCAAACACACACGGAACAAACUGUCCCCAAAGGGGAAACUAAACUUGACAUUGAUUUUACUCAAAGCAUGCUAGAGCAAGAAGAAAAAGCAAAGGCGGUGCAGAAAGACAAACAAAAAGCGAAGAAAGAAAGAACAGACUUACCGAUUUAAACUUGAAAACACCGGGCAAUUCUGAUUUAGUCUCGAAAUAGUAUAAAUCGUCUGUUCUUUGUCAAGAACACACGAAGAACAUCAUUCUGAGAUGAACCAGGCUUGGAACACUCGGGGGAACUGGAGGGAUGAGCUUGCAUAGAUGACCCUGACUUUGACAUCUAGAACUCGAAUCCUAGAUUUAAGAUUCGGAAGGUUGGAGGUAUUUGAAAGAAACUGAAUGGGGAUUUGAGAUGAGGGAAGUGAGGUGGUUAUAGGGUGUAAUUUUGGGAGGGAUUGGAGGAGGCGCUGCUACCCUAAGGCGGUGGGGAAUGGUGGCGGCUUUAGGGUUCUAAGGGGUCUCUGAGGGGGGGUUCUGAGAGAGACGAGAGAUGAGGGGUGGGUGAGAGUUCAGACAUAUAUGUAUUAAACCUACCCCACUUCCCAAUCAUUAGAUUAGAAAACCUC